rnacentral:rRNA from 1 species
UACGGAGGGGGCUAGCGUUGUUCGGAAUUACUGGGCGUAAAGGGCGCGUAGGCGGCCAGCGCAAGUCAGUUGUGAAAUCUCCGGGCUUAACUCGGAAAGGUCAACUGAUACUGCGCGGCUAGAGUGCAGAAGGGGCAACUGGAAUUCUCGGUGUAGCGGUGAAAUGCGUAGAUAUCGAGAGGAACACCUGCGGCGAAGGCGGGUUGCUGGGCUGACACUGACGCUGAGGCGCGAAAGCUAGGGGGAGCAAACGGG